GCCAGUCGGCUGGGGGUCCUACAAUAAGAACCUGGCCCGUGUCACUUCAUAUUUACCCCCUGAGUCCUCAAACGCGCGCGCACCCAUGCAUCCCUCAGUGCUCACAUCCGCAAGCAAACAGCACACAACCGCAGCAGCAGUGCGCAAUAAUGACAAAUAUACUGAACAAAAAGUGCACCUUCUGUGCAACUCUAAAUACCAGGAGUGCGCCAAAGUCAGAUCAGAAUGCACCCUUACAGGUCUUGAACAGGUCUUGAACAGGUCUUGAACAGGUCCUGAACAGGUCUUGAACAGACCCUUUCACCAAACUCGUACCAGGUCUAUUUUAGUGCGCAUGCAGGUGACAGGGGUCCUGCGCACGUUGAUAGGUUACUGCUGCAUCAUAAAUGUAUGAUGUGACUCCUUGCGCACAUUCUUUCAUGAAGACGCACCAGCUCGUGGAUGAAAGAGCAGAAGAAGGAUUCCCAAUGCGGAUCAGUUAGAAGAAAGUGAGUUCUUCACUUCAUGGUAAGAUGGAGCGUCGCUUCUCAAAAAAAAAAAAAAAAAAAAAUGUAAUAAAAAAAACAAAACAAAAAAAGACAUGGCAGGUGGACUAAUUUCUUGGAAGCAUCCCGCUGGUUUGCGGACAUUCACAACAAAUAAAACACGCGACAAAUAGAGAUGAGAAUUUUUUUUUUCCUUCAUUGGCUGAAUGAAAUGAUUUACUGGUUAAUGCACAGGCAUUAAAGCUUGUAAAAUUGCUAUUUUAUAAAAAAAUAAAAUAAAUAUUUUGUUGGGG